rnacentral:rRNA from 1 species
UACUGAGACACGGACCAGACUCCUACGGGAGGCAGCAGUGAGGAAUAUUGGACAAUGGGCGCAAGCCUGAUCCAGCCAUGCCGCGUGCAGGAUGACGGUCCUAUGGAUUGUAAACUGCUUUUGCACAGGAAGAAACAACUCUACGUGUAGAGUCUUGACGGUACUGUGAGAAUAAGGAUCGGCUAACUCCGUGCCAGCAGCCGCGGUAAUACGGAGGAUCCAAGCGUUAUCCGGAAUCAUUGGGUUUAAAGGGUCCGUAGGCGGUUUAGUAAGUCAGUGGUGAAAGCCCAUCGCUCAACGGUGGAACGGCCAUUGAUACUGCUAGACUUGAAUUAUUAGGAAGUAACUAGAAUAUGUAGUGUAGCGGUGAAAUGCUUAGAGAUUACAUGGAAUACCAAUUGCGAAGGCAGGUUACUACUAAUAUAUUGACGCUGAUGGACGAAAGCGUGGGUAGCGAACAGGAUUAGAUACCCUGGUAGUCCACGCCGUAAACGAUGGAUACUAGCUGUUGGGAGCGAUCUCAGU